rnacentral:rRNA from 1 species
GACGAACGCUGGCGGCGUGCUUAACACAUGCAAGUCGAACGGAAAGGCCCUGCUUUUGUGGGGUGCUCGAGUAGCGAACGGGUGAGUAACACGUGAGUAACCUGCCCUUGACUUUGGGAUAACUUCAGGAAACUGGGGCUAAUACCGGAUAGGAGCUCCUGCUGCAUGGUGGGGGUUGGAAAGUUUCGGCGGUUGGGGAUGGACUCGCGGCUUAUCAGCUUGUUGGUGGGGUAGUGGCUUACCAAGGCUUUGACGGGUAGCCGGCCUGAGAGGGUGACCGGGCACAUUGGGACUGAGGUAGGGCCCAGACUCCUACGGGAGGCAGCAGUGGGGAAUAUUGCGCAAUGGGCGGAAGCCUGAUGCAGCAACGCCGCGUGCGGGAUGACGGCCUUCGGGUUGUAAACCGCUUUCGCCUGUGACGAAGCGUGAGUGACGGUAAUGGGUAAAGAAGCACCGGCUAACUACGUG